UAGAGCGUGACCAAGCACAGAGGAGCAGCAGAGAGGUUGAUUAAUUACAAGAACCUCACUUGUGGUGUAUCAACAUGGCAUCAAUGAGUCAUAGAUGAUUGGACACACUGGGUGCAUCUCAAUAGACUAACGUGACCUCCCUUCGUCUCCUCUUCUUCAUCUGCACUGAUCUGAAACUCCAGGAUACUGUAGGUGAAAGCAAUAUGGCGGUUGAAACAGGAGGCAUGCUGGUUUAAAGUGGAAGUGGAGGUGAAAUGGGGUUGGGAGGAGAAGGAGAUAUUUUGGGGCUGAUUUAUACCCUCACUAUUAUCCAGCGCGGCCCAUGUUCAGGUCGGCAGUUAAAAUGAUAUAGACAUCUUGACACGGAGAGAAGGAAAGGUCUGACAGCUCAGGUCAUUGGGGAGAAGAGACUCAGAGUUCACCAUCACUGCUGAAGGUGAUUGUGGAGGCCAGAUCAUCUGAUGCAGCACUCCAUCACUCUCCUUCUUGGUCAAAUAGCCCUUACACAGCCUGGAGAAGAGGCUGCUCAAACAAGUAGGCUGUCACGACUUCCGAAGUCGGUGCCUCUCCUUGUUCGUCAGCGGUCUACUUGCCAGCGCCGAUCCACUUUUUCCUUUGGUUUGUUUUCACACGCUUUCCAUUUCACAAUUAUUUGUUCCUGUAUUUAAACCCUCUGUUUCCCCCAUGGUGUUGUGCGGGAUUAUUACAUGCUCAGUUAGGUUUAUUUU